GAUGAACGCUGGCGGCGAGCUUAACACAUGCAAGUCGAACGGAACGGCCCUGCCUUCGAGGGGUGCUCGAGUGGCGAAGGGGUGAGUCACACGAGUGUAACCUGCCCUUGCUUUAGGGAUACCUUCAGGAAACUGGGGCUAAAACCGAAACGGAGCUACUCCUGCCUGGAGGGGGGUGGAAAGUUUCGGUGGUUGGGGAUGGACUCGCGGCUUAUCAGCUUGUUGGUGGGGUAGUGGCUUACCAAGGCUUUGACGGGUAGCCGGCCUGAGAGGGUGACCGGCCACAUUGGGACUGUGAUACGUCCCACCCUCCUACGGGAUGCUGCGGUGUAGAAUUUUAUACUAUGGGAGGAUGCCUGUAGCAGCAACGUCGCGUGUGGUAUGACGGCCUUCGAGUUGUAAACCGCUUUAGCCUGAGACGUUGUUAGAGUGACGUUUAAAAGAAAUGAUGCACCGGCUAACUUCAUU
rnacentral:rRNA from 1 species